GCGGCUCCCCUCAGCCCCCGCGACAAGGCCUCCGUGGGGUUUCCUGAAGGAGCAGCGCUUCUCCUCUGGGAAACUCGACGUCAAAAUCGAGACUCCAGACCUUAAAUAUGCUUACUUGAAAGUUAGCUCGAUCGAAACCAAGAGGAUUUGCCGGCGGGGGGGAAGUGUUUUAAGAUGAGAGCGUUCAUGUGAAAUGCUUUUAUUAUUUCUCUUGCCGAAAUCUUACUUUUGGGGCGUAGUUUCCUCCCGCCGCGCUCCCCCAAAUCCAUUUUGCCACUUCUGUACCUCCCUCCAUUCAUUUUCCUGAUGCUGCUGCUACGAGUCAGAAUCGAGGCCCCAAAGGUGGAGACCUGAAUUAAUAUUGCAGCAUUGUCUUUUUCUGGUCUGGCUUUUGUUUCUUCAACAGCUGUUUGCCGGGUGGACGUUGGCGAGCUUAAUGCGUUCAUGGCUGAAGAGGAAAAUGAGCACCACUUGUCAGAUUGUCAAAUUUGGUUCUGCUAUAGUUUGCUUUUGGGAUGUUGACCUGAAGAGGUCGCUAGAUAUACAUCCAAGAAACAGGUCAUUUUAUGUUGAAAAAUGGAUAAUUAUUCCAAGGAGUAAACUAAAACUUCUGUGAGCAAGAAAGGAGCCCCAGCUGAUGAAGCAUCUAAGCCCCAGUGACAGAGCAUUAAAUUAACAAGCAAGUCAUUCAAGAAGGUUCUUAAACUAGAAAGAGUCCUGCUGGAUCAGGCCAAAGGCUCAUCCAUCCAACAGACAAGUUACCACGGGAACUAAAGAACCCUGGGAAAUGAAAACUGUUGUGGGGAAAGAUCUUCCUAAGUUGCAGGUUGAUCUGCAGGAAUCGGCUGCUGGAGCUUUUCAUGAUGUGGAGAUAAAUGCCUUCACCCGAUAACACCUGCCGAUAAAACUACUGCUAAAGGUUUUACCACCACAGGGAUGGUUUAAAAGCAUUGUGGGCAAUGUUUCCAGAGAACUGCCACCUCCAGCCUAGGAACAACACCCCCACCGCAUGCUGCAACAGAAAAAGCUAUUGAGUGGGAUAUCUCAAUGAAGAAAGAUGGACCACGCCUCAACACUGGAGCACUAAGCAGCUUUCCAAUUCUCCUGAGUUCCUAUCACAAGUCUAUGGUUUUGCUGACAAUCUGACAAUACAAAUAAAAAAAAUAAAACGUACAUUUCAAACACAUUA